GCUGGGCAUGGUGGUGCAUGCCUGUGAUCCCCGCGGCUAGGGAGGCUGAGACAGGAGGAUCCUGAGUUCAAAGCCAGCCUCAGCAAUGGUGAGGCAUUAAGCAAUUCAGUGGGACUCUGUUUCUA
rnacentral:sRNA from 1 species